UGCGUAGGCGGCGCAGCAAGUCAGGUGUGAAAUCCCCGGGCUUAACUCGGGGGGUGCAUUUGAAACUGCUGUGCUUGAGUGCAGGAGAGGAAAGCGGAAUUCCUAGUGUAGCGGUGAAAUGCGUAGAUAUUAGGAGGAACACCAGUGGCGAAGGCGGCUUUCUGGACUGUAACUGACGCUGAGGCACGAAAGCGUGGGGAGCAAACA
rnacentral:rRNA from 1 species